CAUGGCCCAGGUGAGACGCCCGGUCCCAUUCCGAACCCGGAAGCUAAGGCCUGGCACGGCGAUGGUACUGCACCCGACAGGGUGUGGGAGAGUAGCACGCCGCCGCAU
rnacentral:rRNA from 1 species